GCCCUCGCGGAGCAGCCCGGAGUGCUCGCCUCGUUGUCAGCGAGGAGGCCAGGGGUUCAAAUCCCCUCGGGGGCG
rnacentral:tRNA from 1 species